rnacentral:rRNA from 1 species
UUGGAGGGCAAGUCUGGUGCCAGCAGCCGCGGUAAUUCCAGCUCCAAUAGCGUAUAUUAAAGUUGUUGCAGUUAAAAAGCUCGUAGUUGAAUUUCGGGAUCAGUACGCUGGUCAUGCCUUUGGUAUGCACUGGUGUCACUGGUUUCUCCCUUCUGAAGAUCCGUGAUGUCAUUAAUUUGGUGUCGCGGGGAAUCAGGACUGUUACUUUGAAAAAAUUAGAGUGUUUAAAGCAGGCUCACGCUUGAAUACAUUAGCAUGGAAUAAUGAAAUAGGACGUUUGACCCUAUUUUGUUGGUUUCUAGGAUCGACGUAAUGAUUAAUAGGGAUAGUUGGGGGCAUUAGUAUUCAAUUGUCAGAGGUGAAAUUCUUGGAUUUAUUGAAGACUAACUACUGCGAAAGCAUUUACCAAGGAUGUUUUCAUUAAUCAAGAACGAAAGUUAGGGGAUCGAAGACGAUCAGAUACCGUCGUAGUCUUAACCAUAAACUAUGCCGACUAGGGAUCGGAUGAUGUUAAUUUUAUAAUGACUCAUUCGGCGCCUUACGGGAAAC